rnacentral:lncRNA from 1 species
CACAUUAUGGCCCUUUCUAUAAAUACUCUGAAAUUCACACUCGUGGAUGGAGUCACAAAGCGGUUUGUAGAGCUUGAAGGACCAACGACUGCAUGCGACCAUAGUACUUUUACCUUCUGUGGGCUCCAGGCUGGCAAAGCUUGAAAGGUUUGAUGGUGACACUAAAUCCCUGGGCAGGCAGAGAUGGGCAGAAGCAGUAUAUCAGGAUCACUCCAUUCAACAUGAAAGUUGCAUCUUGCUUGGUUAUUGUUUUUCUUCUCUUGUUAUUCUUAACAAAUUAAAUAACUAUAAUAAUGGGAAAUGACAUAAUUGGUUGAUUGGGUUUCUGGAAACAUAACACAUGUGGCUUUUGACCCAAACAGACUCACAGAGCAAGCAGACAGAGGAAAUAACAGCAAGAGACAGAAUCCUGUAUUAAGCUGGAGUCAGGACAUGGUUGUUAAAAAGGAUGUUACCUCAGCCAUUAUAAAAGCGAAAGGGAUGAGCUGAUUUGGAAAACAAGCAGAAGACAAAAUGGGCUGAAGACUGUAAAUUAUAAAGCUGGGAAAACUGAUGAAGAGGACUAUCUUUUCAAAGAUCAAAUACAGCUAUUUGCAGCAAAACUGUAGGAAACAAGGAGGAAGUGGAAAGAUUACGGGAUCUUCCCUUUCUGGUACAGCUGCUGGAGAAAUCUCUCCUGUUCUCUAUGUCGCACUGAGGUCAAACGAGUGUCAGCUCUUUUAG